rnacentral:rRNA from 1 species
AAUGAACGUUGGCGGCGUGGAUUAGGCAUGCAAGUCGCGCGAUAACCGUAGCAAUACGGCGAAAGCGGCGAAAGGGAGAGUAAUGCAUGGAUAUCUACCCUCGGGUCUGGGAUAGCUGCGGGAAACUGCAGGUAAUACCAGAUAACAUCUCCGGAUCAAAGGUGUGAUCCCGCCCGAGGAGGGGUCCAUGUCCUAUUAGCUUGUUGGUGAGGUAACGGCUCACCAAGGCAAAGAUGGGUACGAGGUGUGAGAGCACGACCUCGCUCACUGGGACUGAGACACUGCCCAGACACCUACGGGUGGCUGCAGUCGAGAAUCUUCGGCAAUGGGCGCAAGCCUGACCGAGCGACGCCGCGUGCGGGAUGAAGGCCUUCGGGUUGUAAACCGCUGUCAGUGGGGAGGAAAUUCCGUAGGGUAAUCUCUAUGGAUUGACCUAUCCGCAGAGGAAGGAUGGGCUAAGUUCGUGCCAGCAGCCGCCGUAA